UACAACCUAAAUGAAAUAUAAAGUAAAAGUGUAUCAAUGGCAGGCAAAACCAUAAACAAAUUCUAGAAUAUCUCAAAACCCGAUGUCACAAGUGCAUGAGCAUCUACUAAAAAGUACAAUAACAAUACAAUAUCUGUCUGGAAUACAAGAUAGACAGAAUAAAGUAAAUAAUUAUGAUAGAGACUAUGUGUAGCGAAUCUUAGCAUGGAAUGCAUCUUACCAUAAAGUCGCCUCAGUAGCUGCACCUACGCACCCAAAUGACCACCAAAUAAACCUGUCAAAUCCUGCACAUUUAGUGCAGAAGUGCAGUAUGAGUACGUAAAUCAACACGUACCCAGUAUGUAUCUAGUCUAACCCUAAAGAGGUAGUGAUAAGGAGAUGACAUUGAUACUUACUAGUGGUCCAGUAGAUCAAAUGUAAUAAAGUAUAAAAGUAUGAAACAUGGUAAAUAAAUAAUGAGAAUAGAUAUAGGAAAAUAGUACGGUCUACAGUUGAACAAUGAACACAAAGUCCUCAACUAUCAGAUACCUCCUCAAAUGGAAUACGUAAUGGUCAAUACUAAACCAACAGUCACAUUUCAAGUCAGGAAACUCAUGAGUAUGCGAAAUCCUGAUUAAGUAUUCCGCACGAUUUUACCGAGGCAAGCAGCCCGAUCCCAUAAAAGUAUUUUAUAGAACUGCCGACACAAAUGACACGAUCCCAUAAGAGUGUUUCAUAGAACUGCCGAGGAAAAUGGCCCGAUCCCAUUAGAGUGGUUCAUAAAAUUAUCGAGGUGAACGACCAUAUCCCAUAAGAAUAUGUUACUCUGCCAAGGAAAAUAGCCCGAUCCAUAAGAGUGUUUCAUAUUGUUGAGGAAAACAACCCGAUCAACAUAAAAAUAUGUUACUUAGAUAAGGCGAACGACACGAUCCCAUAAGAGUAUGUUAAAUGAUACCGCAAAGGCGAACGACCCGAUCCCAUAAAAGUGUAUCACAUUAUACCACCGAGGAGAACGACCCCAUCCCAUAAGAGUGUAUUACAUGAUAUCGUCGAGGCAAAUGGCCUGAUCGCAUAAGAAUAUAUUACAUGAUACCGCCAACGCGAACAGCCCGAUCCCAUAAGAGUAUUGCUGAUGCAUACAGCUCGAUCCUAUUAGAAUAUAAAACUUUUAAAGGUCACUGACCACACUCACGAAUAUAUGUGUGAGUUAUAAAAUUCAAGAAAAACUAUCGGAUGAAUACACACACGCGGAAGAAAUCCGCAAAGGAAAGUACAAUUUCCACAGCUAAUCAAGUAGCUCCUCAAGUAUCUAAAAUAGCAAGUCUGAUACUCUACGCGAGUAUAGUCUCAUANNNNNNNNNNNNNNNNNNNNNNNNNNNNNNNNNNNNNNNNNNNNNNNNNNNNNNNNNNNNNNNNNNNNNNNNNNNNNNNNNNNNNNNNNNNNNNNNNNNNNNNNNNNNNNNNNNNNNNNNNNNNNNNNNNNNNNNNNNNNNNNNNNNNNNNNNNNNNNNNNNNNNNNNNNNNNNNNNNNNNNNNNNNNNNNNNNNNNNNNNNNNNNNNNNNNNNNNNNNNNNNNNNNNNNNNNNNNNNNNNNNNNNNNNNNNNNNNNNNNNNNNNNNNNNNNNNNNNNNNNNNNNNNNNNNNNNNNNNNNNNNNNAAAAUUGAAUUUCUUGAUUCCAUUCUUCACUGCAAGAAUUUCCUUGAAAGUGGAGUGAUAAUAUUUUUCCGCAUCUUUGAACUUUCCGCUUGCAAAUCUACAUAUUUUUCUCUGGCCAUCUUUUAUUUCAAAUAGAACAACAUUCUAGUAUUCAUUGUUGGCAUCAGCUUGCAGUAUUUUCUUACCUUUUGAAGGGAUGUAGAGGGAUUUGACAUCAUUAUAUAUCUACUUUAUUUCCCAGACUAUUUCAUCUUGUUCCUUUCCCCAUGGCGGAGCAUUUUUCUUGAGCAUCUUUGUGAGCAGAGAAAUGUAUGUAGAGAUAUUUGGAAUAAAUCUCUUACAUAAUUUACUACACCCAAGAAUUGUAGGAUCUUCUUUGUUGUGAGGCUGGUAUCAGGAAAUUUGAGUAGCUCCUGACAUAUAUGUGGUCCUGGACUGUAUACACCUUGGACAAAAUGCAUUCCGAGAAAAUCAAUCUCCUUUUGAGCAAGAACCAUCUUUUUUGCUCAAAGAAUGAUCACGUAAUGUGUUACCAAUGCCUCAAAUUGAUGAAGCAAGAUGAUAUGUUCCUCCAAUAUAUUACUAAAUAACAGGAUGUCAUCAAUGUAAACUAAAGAGGUAUGGAGGAUGGGCUGGAAGAUUUUUAUCAUGGCUUUUUUUUGAAAAAGGAGGGGGCAGUUUUUAAUCUGAAGGGAAUGACUUUCUAUUGGAAGUGAUGAUUGGGGAUGCAAAAUCCUGUUUUGGCUCAUUCUUCGGGAUGGAUUCCCAAUUGCCAAAAUGUAGAUUUAAAAUCAAACUUGGAAAAAUAUUUGGCCUUUGCUAAGUGAGAGAAAAGAGAGUUUAUUUGGGAUAUGGAAUUUAUUAUCUUGGAGGAAAUAGUUAAGUGACUGGUAGUUAAUAACUAACCCGAGUUUUCCUCUUGUUUGUCCAGCUCUUUUGUUGACAUAAAAUGUUAUGCUUGCCCAUUGUGAAUCUGAUGGCUCUAUUAGAUCAAAUUCCAAGAGUUUUUCAUCUUCUUUCUUUGCAAGCUAAAGAUUAUAUGGAUUCAUGCAUGAAUGACUGGCUUUUGUUGGAUUGAUAUUUUUAUUCUUCUUGAAAUGGAGCUUGAUAAAAAACUCUUCAUUCUUUCAUAAUGGGAUUUUCCCUUUUUUCAUAAAAUCCUUGUGGGAUUCAACACAUGAAUGCUCAAUAAGAUUUUGUUCAAUCUCCUUGAUUUGUUCGCCAUUGGUGAUUUGGAAUAGCCUUGGAAUUUCAUAAUAAGAUUUGAAUUGCUUCUUAAAGGUUAACCCGUUAGCCCUUAUCUGGAGUUGAUCAUUUAGUUGUCUGAAAAUGUCGAAUCCAACAAUAAGAUAUUUUCUUGGUACACUGAAUCCUAUCAGCUUGGUUCUGUACUUCAAUAUUGGAAAGAACUCAAUUGUGACCGGGUGCUUUGUAAUGACGGUGGUAGUCCGGAUUCCAUUUGAAGCAGUGUUGAAAUCCUUAAAGUAAGGAACCCAUUGUUCUUCAGGGAGAAUAGCAGGAUUCAUGAGUGAACAAACAACUCAAGUGUCAAUGAAAGCAAUGACUCGAGUUGGUUUAUCCUAUUUGGAUGGAUAAACCUUGAGUUCCACUUGAGGGAUUACUAUGAGAGCGUUAAUCUCUUCCUGGGCUUUAGUUGUUGGUUCUGAAUUUUUGUAGUGGUCAUCAUUAUGAUCUUCGUAUAUGUCAAUAGAGAAUAAGGUUUCUUCAGUGGGUUCAUCAUCCAUAGAGAAUAUGGACUUGAGUUCCUCUUUUUUCCGAGAUGUAUGCCAGUGUAAUAUUCAAUCUCUUCGAGGAGUUUGACCAAUUUCCUUGAUUGGGGACAAUUUCUUGCGAAAUGUCUGAUCUUGUGGCAAAUAAAGCAUCUGUUCUUUUCUGAAAAUUUCCUAGCCUCCUUUGUCUGAAAUAUUUUGUGCGCCUCUUGGACCAUGAUUUCCCAUCUAGAGUUCUUGGCCAUCUGAACCUUCUGAAUCCUCUCCGUCACCUAGAUGUGUGGCAGGAACAUCCUGAUUCGGUAAUCAGAUCAGAUUUGCGGCAUGCUUUGUCAAGUGUUGGAAUGUGUUAGAUAAUUUGUUUUAGGGCAGAUCGCUUCAUACAAAUGUCAUCCAAUGUGACGAAAAUAGCUUGCCUGAUGUAGUCGACUUGUGAGAUUGAUAUUGACUGAAACGUUUCUUCAAUGAUGGUCAUGGUUCGUCUUGCCAACAACUUUGGAAGGGAAGAGACAAAGGCUUGCUUCACGUUGAUGUCUCUGUCGAUCUCGAAGUAUAUCUUCACUAUUUUUUAAAAAUGCUUGUCAAUGUCAUUUCUGUCGAAUGACACACACUUCAUCUCGAAUUUUUGUCUCCUCAUCUUUUCUUAUCUUUGGACAGUAUCUCCACAAAAAACUUAAUGUAGGAUUCUAAUUUUGAAGGAAAAGUCCUAGGAAGGAAGAAAGGUAUUUUUGUUUUGAAUCCCAUGUAAGUUCCACCAAUAUCUGAGGAUUCUUGAGAACCAUGAAGUGAGUUCUGACAGGAUGAUAUACUUUUCUCGUUCCACCAGAUUUUUGGUAACCAUCCAAGUAUAGAAGUCUUGGAUCCUUUGAGACCAUUUUAAAACCUUGAUGUCAUCUAAGGUGAAAGUGUAGAAGCCAGUUCCAAUUGGUUUUGAUGCCAUGGGCUCAUAUCUUCUUUAUGGGAUUGGUUCAUAUGUCAUGCCUUCUUGAUACGCAUCUACUUCAUAAAAAAUUGGGUCUCUUGGCUGUUUAAAAUAUUGGGGGAUUGUCUUCUUCGGAAGAGUUCAUUGUGGAUUCAUUGCCUGAUUGAGAGCUAUCUUCCAUUGUAUCCUCGUCUGAUGAAUUUAGUGAUUCCGACCAUGUGGUAUCUCCUUCUGACAUGUUUUUAGGUUGGGUGACAUAGAGGUUUGGAACCUUAUGAUCAGAAAUCAUCAGGUUUUUGGGGUUGGACCCUUUUGAACUUUCUCCAUGAUCUCGCCUUUUUUGGUUUGUUUUUGGGCCGCAAGAGCAUAUUUCCUUUCCUAAACCAUUUUUGCAAUAUCAAAAUCAUGUUCUUGCUUUAAGGGUUGGGUGAAAGAAAUAGGAUUUUGUGAGGUAGUAGGAAAAGUAGAAAAGGUGUAGUCCAAUUUAAGUAGGGAAUAUGCUUGUGGCGACAUAGGGAAGAAGGUAGGUUUUGAAGGGAAAAUUGGGGUCUUUUGUGACACAAAGUGGUCAUUUCUCAAAAGUUAAAUUUGUUUUCCGAUGGAAAUCGUCUCAUUUUGUUGUUGUUGGAAAAUUAGAAAAGUGAAGUUCCUAGCAGACAAAUCUCAUAUUGUAAAUUUGCCAACCUUAGUUCCAAGGCUUUGAUUAGUCCCGCAUGGUGAGGCGAUGUCUGCUCCACCUUUUCCUCAAUUGUUUCCACUUUGCUCGUCAUUUUGUUUUGUGUAUGGGCCACGUUCUUUAUGUGUUGCCAAUGUUUUUCAGCACUUUGUUUUGACAGUUGGAAUUUGCUCAUUUCCAGCUCAUUUUGGCCUCGAUAUCACUAAUUGGGGGGUUUUUCUCCAGUAGCUAGCACUAUAUUUUUCUUGGGAAUUUUUAGAGCAUGGCUUAUACCCUCUUUUUCAAAAGAUUGAAGUGAAGGAAAAUCUUGGGUAUGACUGAGCUUGAAGGGCUUAACAUGAAUAUUUGUGGUUUUGUGGGCUUUGGGGUUUUUUGAGUUGGUAAAGUUUUAGGUUCAGGUGGAUUUUUGGAUUCUGAGGUAUGAGUUGAUGGUAGUUUGGGUUUGGGUGUUAUUUCACUAUCUUCCCAGCUUUGAGUGAAUUUUUCUGGUAAUUUAGGCCAUUCCUGGGGUUUGUAAUUGACAAGAAAUUCGUAUUUAUCCGAACGACUUAGUAAGCCAAUUGAAGGAUCUUUAUUUUCAUAUUUGGCUUGAAAUUGCUUUUCACUAGUUUUCCCUUUUUUCUUGGAUUUUGGUUUGGUAUUGUUGAGGCCAAAUCUUUCCAAAAGAUACAGGUGGUAUUCAUCAUAUUCUCCAAUUGGAUCUUCCAAACAGUCUUGGCAGUCGCAACCAAUAUCCCAAGGGCAGUGUCCGGUAAAGGGGCAUUUGAACCACCAAAAUCUUCUGCCCUCUUUGUCGAAAUGUUGACACCAGUCAUGUUCUUCCAUGAUAGUUUGUAUAUUCCAGAAGGGUUCACUUUCAGGGUUAGGGUCUGUAUCUUUGGAUUUGAUCACUUGGAAAGAAAAGAUGGUUUUAUUGGAUUUUUUGAGAUGGGAAUGGUCAAAGCUUAUGGAAAUGAUUUUGUCAUUUCUUUUAGUAAAAGUGGGCUCACCAGAUUGCAGAGAUUCCUCAGGUUCCCUUAGCUUUUCAUAAUUUGUGAUCCAGGAAUCAGGAAGAAUUUUAUUGAGCUCAUUUCUGGGAGUUUGUCUGGGUAUUUGGGUGCACAUGGUAUUUCCUUUGGUAGCAUCAAUAUUCAAGAGUAAAGCAUUUUCUCCUCCAAGAAGGAAGAGAUCCAUGGCAUGAUUUUGGACCCGCCACACCAUUUGGUGAUGAAGAGUGGCUUGGAUAGCAUCUUUGGCUUGUGGGGCUCCCUAGAUUUGGAUUUGGAUUUUUAAUGCUUUGAUUAGGUAUGGGUCAUGAAGAGACAUGUUAAAAUUUGGAAAGAUAGUUAUGAAGACAUUCCCAUCAUUCAAGGUAACUUUUGCAGUACCCAAAUUUGCAUGUUGGUACUCAUAGUAUCUUGUAUCUAUAAGAGAGAGUCGAGCAACAAUGGGUUGACCUUUUCUUCCCUGAUAUGUUAAAGCAAUUCGGAUAGCACCAAAAUGGAUAUGGGUAAAUCCAUGAUUUCUCCAUUAUCUAUAAAAAUCAUCUGAGAUUUGAAGGGUGAUAAAUUGUUCUUCUCGAGUGGCAAGACUAGGAUGUUGGUCAAGUUUUGAGGCAGCAACAUAUUCUUUGACUCAUUUUGGUCUUUGUUAGACUAGGUAAUGAAUUUGGGUCUAUGGUGCAAAUUAUGUUUUUGCAAAAGCUGAGCAAGGGUUUAUGAGGGGUAGUUCAGUGGAGGUUACUUUCUGUUCGUCAGGUAGGAUAUCUACUUCAUAGAUGUAAUCAUAUUUUUUGGAAAAAGUUUUAUAUAGAGUAGGGGACAUAUUCAACUUUGCAAAGGAAGAGGAUGAUGGAAACAACUCAGACAUAUUUAGUAAAUUGUUCCUCUAGCCAAAAGAAUGGGCUAGCUCUGAUACCACAGUAUAAAGAAUUGAGCAAGAGACUCCAAGAAAGCAAACUAAAUCAUAGAUACGAAAGUUUCCCUACAUCACCACCCGGUAUGAUAUUGAAUAGAAAUAUCAUAGUAGGUAGAGGUGCACCCGUUCUGAGUUUCGGGCAUUCCCUCACCAUAUGACGGGUAUCACCACACUCAAAGCAGGACGCAGCUGAUGAAACUCACUCGGGCUUGGUUGACUAGACUGACCAUUGAAAGCACCCUAUGCUGAAGGUACACUAGACAGUGGCGGUGCAUAAUGAGCAACCUGAGGCCUAAGAGUAGCGCGAGUACCACUAUAAGUUGGAAGUGUUGAAUGAACUGGACGGCUCAUAUAGCCUCUACCAUGAAGGGCUAUAACUAGAGAACGAGCACCAUUAUAUCCGCCAGAAUCUCGAGGCCUCAUGGCCUCCAUAUCCUCCCUCUCCCAGCCUCGCAUACCCUCUAAUCUCCAUGCGAUAUUACCACCUGCUGGUAUGGAGUGUCUAUCUCCAACUCUCAAGCUAUGCUAAAUCUAAUACCAUAGUUGAGCCCCUCGAUAAAUCGACAAACUCGCUCUAUAAUUGUGGAAACAAAGGUAGGUGCAUGUCUGGACAACUCACUGAAUCUGACAGCAUACUCUAGCACAGUCAUAGGACCCUGGCAUAGCUGUUCAAACUUUGGGCGCCAUGCAUCUCGAAAACUCUGGGGAACAAACUCUCUCAAGAAUAUCUCUGAAAACUGAGCCCAUGUGAUUGAAGCUGCCUCGGCUGGCUUACCCUCCUCAUAAGACUACUACCACUAGUAUGCCAGUUCCGACAGCUAAAAAGUAGUGAAAGCAACCCUGCUCGUCUCCACUCUACCCAUACGGUGGAACUUCUACAAAAAACCCUAUGCAUCCUCUGUAGCUAGGCCGCUGAAAGUAGGAGGAUGUUACUUCUUGUACCUCUCAAGUCGGAGUUGCUCUCCUCAGAUAUUGCUGCCCUAACCUUAGGCUGAACUGGGACGACCGGAUGCACUAGUAUAGCCUCUAGGCCCUGAUCAAUAUGGAAUCGCUGAUCUGGGUAUGAGUUGUGGGAGUAUGAGCUUCUCCCCCAGCCUGAGAUGUGGCGGGUGCAAGUGUAAUCAACCCCACCUGAGCUAGAGUACCAAACAUGCUCAAGAAUUGUAUGAGGGUCUCCUGAAUUGCAGGGGUGGAAACAUACACCUCAAGUUCCUGCCCCACAACUGGAGCAACUGAUGGCUCCUCUGUUGCAGCUUGGGCAGGUGCUCUAGCUACUCAACGUUCCCUUCCUCGACCUCUGCUCCGCCCCCUCCCCAGCCUCUUGCAGCUCUAGUAGGGGGCGUGUGUGUCUAAUCGUUGAAUUUAGCAGUGCAUGUCCUCACCAUCUGUAAAAGGACAGAAAGACAAUGAUUCAUAAUUUCGAAGUCACUAAAUUCACACGAUAAGGAGUCAAAGAAGUGAAGUUUCCUAACAGUACCAUUGCCCCUCGUAGAUAAGUAUAGAUAUCUUAGUACCGAUCCGCGAGACUCUACUAAAUCUUGUUAUGACUCGUAACACCUAUGAACCUAGAGCUCUGAUACCAACUUGUCACGACCCCAAUCUCCCUCUGUAGGAUGUUGUAAUGGCACCUAAUCUCUAACACUAGGUAAGCCUAACAUAUAUGAAGAAUUUAACGGAAACAAUAAUAAAACUUCCAAUUUAAACCAAUAGCUAUCAUAGAAAGGACUCCGCAAUCCAACUGAACCUAACUCCCUAAAUCUUGUAAUACCGAGUCACAAGCUUUACACGAGUAUACUUAACAUCCCAUAAUUUAUGAAAAGGAGAACGAAAUAGAAACUAGAUAGAGGGUGACUCCGAGACCUGCAAAUGCCGGUAGGUAUACCUUGAAGUCUAUGAUCCAAGCCCGACUCACGGAUGCCUAGGCUAGUAUGAAGUACUUGGAUCUGCACAAAAAGAUGUGCAGAAGUGUAGUAUGAGUACGCCACAAUGGUACCCAGUAAGUAUCAAGCCUAACCUCGAUAGAGUUAUGAUGAGGUCAGGUCAAGAAACCUACUGGAAUAAAUAAACAAAAUGAACAAGUAUAGUGUAGUAUGAUAAUGAAAACAAGGAAAUGAUAUAAGGAAGAAAUAUAACAAGAAUACCUACACUGAGACUAAGGUAAUUAAGACAUCAUGGAAGAAACACAUAAUAAGAAUGCCAAGGAACUGAUGCAAAUAAAACACAAGUGAUAUAACUGAAAGGUAUCAACCAGAAUCACUACUGAGGUACCGCCUCGUAGUCUCAUUUCACAAUUCAAAUUACAAUCUUUCCUUAUACACUACGGGAGCCUUGAAUUUUCCCGAAAUAGCUACCCGCGUCUUAGCCCACCUUAUCACACCGCGUGGAUUCAAGUAAUUCCCCUACUAGCAACACGCAUAUCAAGCUCACCUUAUCUCACUGCAUACAUUUUAACCCCAAUCCAUAUACCAACGCAUGCAUAUUCAUAUCACAACACAUCACAAAUCGCGCCUCAAAUGCUCAAUACUACAACUUUCUAAAGAAGUCAACAAUAAUAGUAUUUUCACAAUAAAUAGCCCAUGGCUAAACCACAAUAUGUACAAGAGUCUUAACAAUAGCAACCAAAAAUGAAUAACUCAACAAGAAUGGUAUUUCAACAAAUUUACAAUUUUGCCUCAAUGUGAAUCACGACCUUUAUAACUUCAACACCAUAAUUCAACAAUAAGAUCUUCCAAGAAAUAACAAAUUCAAGUAAAGGAACUAUGUCAAGUAAAUCACGUAAGGAUAGGUUAACGAUUAUGAAGAUAACAUGUUAUGACAAUUUAAUUAAAGGCAUGAAAGAAUCUACGUAGCUCAAGCCGGUGAAUUACCACAUUUAGCCUGUGUACCCACUCGUCACCUUGCGUACACAGUUUUCAUAUACCACAAUUAACACAAAACAACACCAAUCCUAAGGGGUAAUUCCCCACACAAAGUUAGGCAAUGCACUUACUUAAAAACACGCUAACUCAAUCCACUACUAAGCCUUUUCCACGAUUAUCCAACUCCGAACGACUCGAAUCUAGCCAAAAUAGCAUUAUGCCAUAAACACAAACCAUAAAAAAUUAUUCCGAAUAAUAAAGGUGCAAUCUUUAAAGAAUAUCAAAAAUUCAACUUAAAAAGUCAACCCCGUACUUGCAUCUCGGAACCCGGCCAAACGUAUGAAAUCCCAACACUCAUUCGAUAAUGAGUCCAACCAAACUAGAAUUAUUCAAAUAUGAACUCAAAUUGCCAAAAUUUGGUCUAUCAAGUUUCAAAAAAAUUUCCCAAAUUUUCCAACUCAAAACACUAAUUAAAUUACAAAAACACGACGGAUUCAUGUACAAUAGCCAAAUCCGAGUUAGAAUCACUUACCCCGAUGAAUUCAUUGAAAAUCCCUCUAAAAAUCCCCAAAAACCGAGCUCUCUAGGGAAAAAAGAUGAAGAAUGAAACAAAACCCUUGUUUUUGAAAUUUAACACUGCUACCCAGUUAUCCUAUCUCACGAUCGCAGACAAAAGACUCGCGAUAGUGGAGAACAAAUCUCCUCAGCUCAAAAAAAGACAAUAUGCUAUCGUAUGACUAUAGUCAUGAACGCGAUGGCAGGAGCUGCCAAGGUUACACGAUUGCGGACAACACCACGUGAAAGUGAAAGAACAACGCAAGCCUCAGCACCGACUCGCCUUCUUUAUAUGCGAAUACGUUCAUAUCCAUGCAGUCACGAUGCACAAGCUCCCAAACCUUCGCGAUCAAACCAUCCCAGCAGUCCCUAAGGAUUCUACGUGAUCAUAGGAGAACCUUCGCGAACGCAUAGAAGGAAACUAGAACAGAAAAACCAGCAGUCCUAGUUCAAGAGCAAAUGGUCUGAACUCAAUCCGAAACACGUUCGGGCCCUCCGGGACCCCGUCCAAACAUACCAACAAGUCCUAAAACAUGAUACAAACUCGCUCGAAGCCUCAAAUCAUAUUAAGCAAUACUAAAACCACAAAUUGUACAUCGAUUCAAGCCUAAUGAACUCAUGAAUCCCUAACUCCUAAAUUAAUGUUGAAACAUAACAAACAAACCCCAAUUGACCUCAAAUUUCGCACACAAGUCAAAAUUGACAUAACUGACCUAUUCCAACUUUUGAAUCCAAAAUCUGGACCCGAUAUCAAUAAAUUCAACUCCCGGUCAAACUUCUCAACCUUCCAAACCUUCAACUUUUCAACUUUCGCCAAUUCAAGCCAAAAAGACCUACGGACCUCCAAAUCAAUAUUCGAACAUCCUCCCACGUUCAAAAUUACCAUACGGAACUAUUGAAAUCGUCAAAACUCCUUUCUGAAGUUGUCUACACAAUAUUCAAAUUCUGGUCAACUCUUUCAACUUAAACUUUCAACUUUUGGAUUAAGUGUCUCAUUUUUCACUCUGAAACUCGCCCGAACGAAAACCAAACAUCCCGGCAAGUCACAUAACCAUAAUAGAAUAUAGAGGAGGAAAUAAAUAGGAGAAUGGGACUAAAAUACUCCAAAUGACCAGCCGAGUCAAUACAAUGUCUUUACUCUAUUUUGACAUAACAUUAAUUCUAUUUUAUUCUUAAUCGCAAGCAUUUGUUACAAUUUCAUUUGGGCUUUACAUUGAUUUUAUCUGCAUUUAAAUGUUAUGUUGGGCCUUGUCACUAAUGUUUGCCUUUCUAUUUUGCACAUGUGAUCAAAAUGGGCCUGUUGAGUUCUCAAGAACUCAGGUUCAAGUUCUAGCCUCACGUCUGAAGUCAUUGAAGUUGUUGCUACUAUUCGUUUUCCAUUGGGCCUGACAUUCUUUAGGCCCAAACCAUGAGUCCAAUUCCCUUUGUUUUAUCGCUUUUAUAUAAAUUUGUUGUUGUUUCUAUGUAUAUAUAACACUGAUAAUAUUGAGAGAAUGAUUUUCUCUUGUAUCAUUUUUUAAUUAUUUUAGAAACUUAGGCAAGUUGAAAAAUCAUAAGUAAUAUCAAAAGGAAUGGCAAUCUCUUCAAUCAGUUAAAUAACUUCAACUUAUUUAAUUAUUUCUAUUAUACAAUUUUCACUUUCAUCUCUACUAACCGUUUUUUCAUGAAUUUUUGAAGUUCAAAACAGAUUUGAAAAGUCGACAAUCAUCUUUCUUUAAAAGCCAGAAUUGGGCAGAUAAUUUCAAAGUCGAGUUAUCUACAAAACAAAUGAACACAAUUGCGAUCAAAGAACUUCAAACGAUGUUCUUCUAAACUUGGAUGCAGAAUAUGGAAGAGUUUUCAAGGUAUAUCUAAACCCAUUUCUCCAAUAACUCUUAUUUCACUACAGCUACAGAAAUAGCCAUUUUGUUUCACAAGUAAAAAGUAUUUUUAAACCUAGCCAUACUUAUAAAGUUUACAAAUAAAGCCUUAUAGUCCUACUUUCAAAAGUUCUUUCAAUCACGUAAAUAUGAACACUUUUCAAGGCUUUUACAAAUGAAAACUACACUCUCCUUUCAAAAUUGCAUACAUCAUUUUCAAGUGAUAAGUUUUAGUCAUGACAUAGAGUAAGCUACAUAUUUUUAAGCACUAACCAGUAGAAUAUAGACAUUUAAUUUCCUAAACCUAGUCUAAGUCCUAUGGUGCUACCUUAGGUAUAUUCUAGGAGGUGCGUAACACCUUCCCCUUAGAAGAACAAGAACCCUUACCCAAAUUUCACUGGUUAGCAGACCAAUAAAUAAUAAUUUAAUAAUUGAAUAGGUAUCGUAGUAUACCUAUAAAUAUUAUAUGGCGACUCUUUUUCAUCAUCAAUAGGGACACUACUAGUUCAAUCUUACUUUGACUCGUGCAAAAUAUGGUGCAACAACAAUGUCCUACUCUGGAGUGUGAUUAGAUGAGGUUUGGGCUCCCUCUCCAGCCUGAGAAGUGUCUACGACCGCAAGAAUUAUCUGUACAUGUGUUAAACCUCAAAAUAACUCAAAAUUUGGACCAUGGUUUCCUUAAGCACUAGAAUAGCAAUAAAACCUUGGGAACUUGUGUUGGACCGAUUGGAACAACCUGAUCUACCACUGGAGCUAGGUGGCUCCUCAGAAGCAUCUAUUGUACGUGCACGAGUAAUUGCGGGUGCUCCACCUCUUAGGGGUGCUGCCAUACAUACCUUGGUCUGAGAUCCAGCCCUACCUGAGCCCUGCCUCCUCUAGAUCCGGCCUAGGGUAUUGGCUUCUGCUUAACCGUUACGGAUGCAUGUGGCCUCACCUUCUAUAAGAGAAUAGAAGAGUAAGGUUCAAACACUAAGAUAAAACAAGGGACGCACAAUAAGGAAAGAAAGAAGGAAAUUUUCCUAAAUCCCUGUCACACCUCCUUUUUACCCGCCCGUGAGGGAUAUAAGGGAGUUUUUCCAAUUAAAGUGACAUUAAUCGAAAUGGGAUUAAUUAAUUUAUUUUUUAGAGUCGCCACUUGGAAUAGUUUAUUAUCGUGUCCCAAGUCACCGGUUUAUUAUAAAAUCCCCAGUCGAGGAAAUUUUCGACUUUAUUUAAAAGUCUGCGAACCAGAAAUUCUAAGUAAGGAAUUUUGUUAACCUGGGAGAAGGUGUUAGGCAUUUCCGAGUUCCGUGGUUCUAGCACGGUCGCUUAAACUAUUAAUAAUUGGCUUAUUAUCUGAUUUACUACACAUUUUAAACCUAUUGUGCAUUUUUAACUUUAUAACCGCCUUUUAAUUAUUUUAUGGAAUUAUUCUGGAACAAGUUACGAUUGUUGUACACUUGUUUGUGUGAUACACAUUGCGAAUUAUGUCACGGGAACCGUACCCACGAUCUACAAUAUGUCUAAUUUAUUAAAGUUAUUAGAAGGUGUGGCCAGGUCACAUAAAUGUACCUCCGGAUUUGGAAAUUAGGUAUCACAGCUAAGUCAUGGGAACCAUACCCGUAGCUAUGAUGAUUUUAUUAUAAACGCGCCUAAAGCAAACUACGAGUGUUUAAAAAGGUGUCUUUCCAUACUAAGUUAAUAUUAAUGUGAGGGCCAUAGGUUAUGGCUUUUAUUUGUGUAUGGCACACCGCAAUUUAUUUUUGAAAGAAAAGAUUUGUAUUUUUGUAAGGCAAACUAAAGAUGCUCCUACUUUAAUCUAAUUUAAAAUUAGGUAUCACAACCACGUCACAGGAAUUGUGCCCGUAGUUGUAUUAAUUUAAUUGCGUGCAUAAAGCAAACUACAGUGUUUCAAAUUUGUGAUUCAUAGCCAAUUUGGGAUUGUUGUGAAUGCUCUGACUUAUGGACUUGACUUAUUUGGGAAGAAAAACAUACUAAUACUACGGAGAAAAGACAAAUCUAGGAUGCAUUACUGCAUGGAGUAUGAAUUUUUCAACACAUUUUGAAAGGAAGAAAAAAAAGCCAUGUUAAUUAGUUAGGUUUGUUCGUGUUCCACUUGAUUUCCACAUCAAUUUUAUUUUUUAUUUUUUUAUUUUUACAACAAAAAAGUUCAAAGAACUUUGCCACACAUGCCUAAGAUAAAUAUAUUUAAUUAACAAUGCUACAAAAUAUAUAUUAUAACAUGAAGCAACAUUUCAAAUGGUAAUCACCAAAUAUACAAGUAUUUAGACGUCUCUGUGAGUGAAGAAAGCACAUGUUCCUUUUAAUUCAGAUGCCAAAAAAAAAAACGAACAUCUCGAGGUAUCCUGGGAACAGAAAUUGGAAUAACUGACAUGAACAGAUCUUUUCAACAUAUAUACUGGGACAGCCUCAAGCAGCAAAGUUAAAAUCAAGUAGGCUCCUUAUUCAUAUGUAAACUCAAAGCAAUUAAAUACUAAUAUUCCCACCAAUCAAAUAUCAAAUCAGUGAUCAUAGAGUCAUAUCGAACUAUAAUCCGACAUGUCCAAACCAAGCAGAUUCAUAAAUUUAUAUGCUUGUCCAAAGUGAAGCAACAGAUUUAACAAAAUGACAUGGAAAAACUGGAGCCAAAUCAAAUCAGUAUUUUAUGCAUUCAAAACUAGCAACAAUCAGAAAAUUAGAAGUGUACCUACCUUGUAUUUUAAAAGAAACGAAGGAAAAGCGAAACGAAGCUCAACAGCAAUUUCCCGUCCACAACAAACAACAAUCGCAGCAAGACAACUCCAAUUAGAGCUUCGAUAACUUGGAUCCUAAAUAAGAUACGGGCAUCGAGAGAAGAGUUCCAAUCAAGGGCAGCCACAAUAGCUCGAGCUACAUCGCUUGCUAUACCAUUUUCCUCUAUCUUUUUUAGCUGUUAAUUAAUGCUUCAAUAGAUUCUUGAAGUUGUACAUUAUUCACCUUUGAAAAGGGUUUUAAAAGGAAGAAAGAAAAAAUUGGAAAGAGGGUUUUAAGCAAAUAUGUCAGUUAUUUGCACUCUGCGAUGGUGGACAGAGUGGGGAUAGAGGAAAGGUGCUUCAUCUUUUUUGGGCUAUAAUUUGUGUGUCGUGUGGAGAAAAUGAAGAAGAAGAAAGAGAGGUCUAAUCUUUUUUGUGGAAACAACGCUGAGGGGGUGGAUCC
rnacentral:lncRNA from 1 species